rnacentral:rRNA from 1 species
GAUGAACGCUGGCGGCGUGCCUAAUACAUGCAAGUCGAGCGAAUGGAUUAAGAGCUUGCUCUUAUGAAGUUAGCGGCGGACGGGUGAGUAACACGUGGGUAACCUGCCCAUAAGACUGGGAUAACUCCGGGAAACCGGGGCUAAUACCGGAUAACAUUUUGAACCGCAUGGUUCGGAAUUGAAAGGCGGCUUCGGCUGUCACUUAUGGAUGGACCCGCGUCGCAUUAGCUAGUUGGUGAGGUAACGGCUCACCAAGGCAACGAUGCGUAGCCGACCUGGGAGGUUGAUCGGCCACACUGGGACUGAGACACGGCCCAGACUCCUACGGGAGGCAGCAGUAGGGAAUCUUCCGCAAUGGACGAAAGUCUGACGGAGCAACGCCGCGUGAGUGAUGAAGGCUUUCGGGUCGUAAAACUCUGUUGUUAGGGAAGAACAAGUGCUAGUUGAAUAAGCUGGCACCUUGAUGGUACCUAACCAGAAAGCCACGGCUAACUACGUGCCAGCAGCCGCAGUAA